rnacentral:lncRNA from 1 species
GAGUACUCUUUAUCAUCAGAAUGCCUUGGUGUAAAGAGCUAUUCUCCAAGGUUUCUUUCACGCUAAAACAAACACCCUAUUUUGAUAUUUCAUCAUCAAUUGGUAGAAGAAGAAGAUCAAAAGAAGAGGAUGAUGAUGAUGGUCAAGUCCCUUGAGGAAAACCAUUCAGAGAAAAUCACCAUGUUGGUAGCAUCUCUUGUCAAUAGAAAAUUCUGCUCCUGUAAAUAAUUUUGAUCUUUUUACAAAUUACAACUUAUAAACUGACUGAAUUAUGUAAUUAUUGUCCAGCAAAAUUUAUCUCCAUGUACAUCUUUUUAUAAAUACCUUAAUAUAAUAGAGUUACAAAUUAUGUUAUUGUACUUUAAGUUUAAUCUCAUACUCUCUGGCACUCUUUCUCAUUACAAUCCGUGCAAAAUCCUUCAAAAGCUUCAUCUUUGUCUAUUCUACAUAUCUCAUCUAUUGAUUAGCUCUAAUAGAGUAAAGAA